rnacentral:rRNA from 1 species
UGGGGGAUGGAUUGGCUUGAGCGCCGAGGAAGGCCGUGGCUAGCUGCGAUAUGCGCGGGGUAGUCGCAGGCAGACUUCGAUCCCGUGAUCGCCGAAUAGGAAUUCCUUAUGCAGACCAAUAAGCUGCAUAACUCCGAAAGGAGAGGGAACGCACCGGACGGAAACAUCCAAGUAGGUGCAGGAAAAGAAAUCAACUGAGAUGCCCUUAUUGUAACGGCGAGUAAAAAGGGCAAAGACCAAACUGAAUCCGCUUACGCGAGUAAGUGGAGAUGUGGUGUUGAGGACUUCCAUUAACUCUGCGAGUAUUAGCCGAAUCUCCUGGAAAGUUGAGCUACAGAAGGUGAUAGCCCUGUAGGUAAAAAUAUUCCCAGAACUAGGAAGUAUCCAGAAUAGCGGGGGUUGGAAAUCCCUCGUGAAUGGGGCACAACGAGCUCCAAGUCUAAAUACGUCUCAAGACCGAUAGCGCAAUAGUAACGUGAGUGAAAGCUGAAAAGUAACCCGGAAGGGUAGUGAAAAGUGCCUGAAACCAGUUGCUUAUAGACGUUUGUGGUUCGAAAGCUUAGAUUCUCCUUGAAGUGAGCACUGGUGACGGUAGGAACGAAAGGAGAGGAGCGGAAUCACAAAAUCCGUCUAGAAACACGGGCCAGGGAGUUUACACUUGUGGCGAGCUUAAGGGUUGAAACCCGUAGGCAGAGCGAAAGCAACAAGUCCGCAGUUUACAAGGGACGCCGUCUGAAAGGGCGGGAAGUCACAGGUGUAAGACCCGAAACCGGACGAUCUAUCCGUGGGCAGGUUGAAGCCUAGGGAAACCUGGGUGGAGGACCGAACAAGUGCUGACGUGCAAUUCGCGUUUGUUGACUUGCGGAUAGGGGCAAAAGACCAAUCUAGUCCGGUGAUAGCUGGUUCCCGCCGAAGUGGACAUAGGCCAGCCUGAUUUGAGGUGGUGUUUUCGGUAGAGCAAGGAUUUAUGGUCAUGGGGAGUAAAAUCCUCACCCGUAAGUCAAACUACGAACGGAAACAUACCGUAGACGAUCAGAGUCGGGCGUGCGUGCGUAAGGCACGUGGCCGAAAGGGGAAUAACCCAGACUAUGGUUAAGGACCCCAAGUCUCGAUUAAGUGUUAAAAGAGGAAGGACGUCCUUGGACACAGACAGUAAGGAGGUAGGCUUAGAAACAGCCAUCCUUUAAACAACACGUAACAGUGGACUUACCGAGUCCUUGGGCUCCGAGAAUGGACGGGGCUAAAUCGAGCUCCGAGACCUAGGG